AAUAGGAGCUUCUGUUCACUCACACGCUUGCAGCUAACGUGUCGGAGCGGUUAAAACGUGUCGCCGUGUGUUUUUAAUACAGCACGAGCAGCCUCCGCGCGCGUAACGCGUAUUUAAAGUUAGCGUCUGUGGGGGAAAACGCCGCGUAAAGCCGGACGCGGUGUUUCAGCACCGCGGACAGCGACGCGCCAAGCGCCAAAAAACAAUCGCUUAAAAUUCCGCGUGACUUUUUUCGUGUUUUUCAAUGAUCGCGAUGAGCAAUUCAAUAAGUUAGGCGGCCGAACUAAAUGGCAUGCUGUUAUAAGUAGAUUUCCAAAUCAGCUUUGAGCGAACGGCCGCUGCUUUUAGCAGCUCUCGAGUGGAGUUUGGCGACACCACGCGGUGAGACGCUCAACACCACCCCACCACCACCACCACCACCCCCCGUAUGUUUCUACCGCACUGUUCAAAUUAGUGUACUUUGUGUUCUGCACGUCCAGUUUGUGCGUUAUGCUUUGCAAUCGUGCAUCUUCAGAGGCCGCAGACUUCGUGUGGCUAUUGCGCGGUCGUUUAUAACGCAGCAUCGACUUCAAGCUGAAACUGCCCGUAUCAGACACACCUCUUCAUAUAAACGAGGCAUCCCCAACUUUUCUCCCUUAAUGCGCUCCCUGAACAAAACCCCAACGUGCGCAAAAAAGCGACCACCGGGCAUAUAUAGGCUAGUGGUGCGCGUCUGCCGCGGUAUCCAUUGGCAAACGAGUUUUGCACGAUGCCCGGCGAUCGCGAGGAGGGGUUUCGCUCUUGGAAACCGGGGCUGUGGUCACUUGCGGCGCGGACGCUGUCCGUCUUUCACCUGUUUAGCCCGAGCCAUUUUCAUUAACGCGAGGCUGUCUGCGAGCGCAACGGGGACGGUUGUAAUCAGCGGCCAUAGACUGUGAAGUGGGAGAACCUAAACGUGACGUCAAUGCCUAGUAACUGACGCAGCCCUCAAAAAAAAAAAAAAAAAAAAAAAAAAAGGGAGAGAUUCUGCAAGCGUUAAUUAUCAUCGUUUGUGUACUGCUCUAAAGACAAAACAUAUUCCGCUCGCAGUGCAACUGAUUAGCGUUGUUUGCGCGCGCGGGUCCGUCUGUGUGCGAGUGUGUGCGUGCAUGCGUGCGUGCGUGUGUUUUCUUUAUGGGCAGCGAAUCCGUCCCGAGUUUCCAAGCGAAAGUUGCAUGGAGACACGCCGCGUAAGACGCGUGUAAUAAAGAGGAUGGCGAGCAGCAUAAAGGAACGAGGAGAGCGGGAACAACUUGUGCCGAGAAAGCGAACGUUUAAGAAAUGUUUAGCCCGCGAGAGAGAGGGGCACUGAAGCAGUUCGUUUGGAAGAAAAAAAAAAUGACUGCAGCGAUGCAUCGGAGGCGAGUCGGAGCCCUCGCAUGGAGUUGGAGAGGCAAAAUUAAUGUACAUUACAUGCACUCCACGUAACGCUCCUGAGCGAUGUCUUUCCAGGGCUUCCCGCACUGGGCGGGACGAAACCCCAGGCGCCCGUCGUGUCAGGAACGGAGGGAGAAAGGAACGGCUCGGAAUCGAAUCACAGAACGUUCCCAAACGGGGUGGCUCGUGACGUCACAGUCCCCAAAAUCUGCUGAUGACUGGAAGUCUGUGCAGAAGUGAGACGAAGCUGAACUGACUGUGCUCCUCACGGAAGGGGAAGAACGGCCGACGAUGGUGGAAGAAAAGAAAAGAGGGAAAAGAAGGGGUUUACCAAUAAACAAGGAUGAAAAUCUGGGAAAAUCUGGGAACGCUUUACCUCGUAUCCUGCACAGAAGAUCAACGUCAAGCCAACGUCCCUUAGACUGCUUUACACCUGAGAAUGGAUAUUCAGCAAGUUGAUUACUUUGUAGGACCAACAUAACUCCGUCAGGUAUUUGCAAUAUUUGCCUGUGAACUACUUGAGAAUUAAUAAAUAAGCUGAGCUUCCGUCUCGCCGUAACGUACAGACGCCUGUAACGUCCGGGACGCGCGAGCUGCGGGACGCAAGGGGAUACGAAAAUAAAGCAGUACCCAGUUCAGCAUUAAAAAAAUCCCCACUUGCCCACAAAACCGUGGAUAGAUACAUUUGUAGUAAUUAUUCUCCUGAAUGAGAGAGGCUGCGUGGAGAGGAGAAGCACGUGAGCGCCCGUGUUGAGUUGUGCUGUUUUAACUCCAGAAGACGCGAGGGCUGAUUUAAUCGCAUUUGUUGUAAUUAAACAACAGCCUAUAUGUAGUUUGCGGUGGAUUUGUUGUGACUGCGGUAAUAAGAACGUGCGCGUGCGGCGGACGUGAACGACGUCUGCGUCUGUGGACGUGUGGGAAAAUUACAGGCGCGGGGUUUUGAGCCGGUGGCGCUUUAUAAUCGCGAGGGUUAGGUGUCUGUUAGAUGCCAGUGGUUUGUUUAAAGCGUUAUAUGAAGCUGCAGACAAGAGUUCGAGGUGCCAGGCGCCCGCUGUCCGCUGCAUGUGCUGUCACUCACACGGCCCAGCUGAGUUUGGGACUAGAGGUGCGCUGUUUUUACACGUGCUUCAGCCACAUGAGUUUAUUAUAUCGCAUACGUGCUCGUAAGGUUUGAUAACUAGCGCUCGGGGGGGCCUUUUGAGCACAGUCAGUGUGAAAGGGGAGUUGGUAGAAUUGCCAAAGGGUCAAAGGUGGGGCUGGGUGGCGCGAAAAAGGGGGAGAUGUAAAUAUGCUUCAAUUAAAGAAUAAAGAUUAUUGGCGUCGAGAUUAUUGUUCUCGAGAUGUCUGUGGUGGAUCAGUGAGCGUCGAGGACUGAAAACUGGAGUGUAUGUGCUACGUGAGAGGAAACGUGUGUGAAAGAGAGAGAGAUAGUGUGUGUUUGAUGUCGAAAAGUGUGUGUGUUUUAAGUUUUUUCUACGCAAAAUAUAUUUAAGUAAAAUAUCUACAAUUCGCAUCGUUUUUUUAAAGUAGUAUUUUGUAGUAUAAUAAUGCAAAAAAAAAAAAAGUGUCAGUGCACUGUUGGAUUAAUUGUGCUUUACGUGUAUUUUCUUUACAUUGCUUUAUAAGUGCAAUAUGUUUAUGCUUUCUUGUUAUUGUUUGUCACACAAACCUAAGUGUGAGAUGAAUCGACUAAAAUGAGUGAAGUGUGGUGUUGCUACAGUGUGCAAAACGUAAGGACGUAACGUGUGAGUUCUGCACUCCUGUGUAGGCUAUUUGAAUGUCAUUUCUGUAUAGUGCCUUUACUGUAUAGACAAAUAUGCUGGACACUGUGUAAUUGUUUAGCUAUUUAUCUGCACAUGAAACAAGCUGUACAAGUGAUCUGAGUGAUAUAUGGGGUGAUUGUCCUGCAAAAUCUAAAAGCUGGAGUUCACGUGACAACGUGAUGAAUCACGUAUUUUGUAAUCAAACUGCUUUGCUCUCUGUAUCCAUUAUCCCAUGUCAGAGAAAAUAAAACUGUUUGGAGUUA